rnacentral:rRNA from 1 species
CCUACGGGAGGCAGCAGUGAGGAAUAUUGGUCAAUGGGCGAGAGCCUGAACCAGCCAAGUCGCGUGAAGGAUGAAGGAUCUAUGGUUUGUAAACUUCUUUUAUAUGGGAAUAAAGUGAGGAACGUGUUCCUUUUUGUAUGUACCAUAUGAUUAAGCAUCGGCUAACUCCGUGCCAGCAGCCGCGGUCAUACGGAGGAUGCGAGCGUUAUCCGGAUUUAUUGGGUUUAAAGGGUGCGUAGGUGGUUAAUUAAGUCAGCGGUGAAAGUUUGUGGCUCAACCAUAAAAUUGCCGUUGAAACUGGGUGACUAGAGUGUAGUUGAGGUAGGAGGAAUGCGUGGUGUAGCGGUGAAAUGCAUAGAUAUCACGCAGAACUCCGAUUGCGAAGGCAGCUUGCUAAACUAUAACUGACACUGAAGCACGAAAGCGUGGGGAUCAAACAGGAUUAGAUACCCCAGUAGUC